AAAUCAAAUAAGUUUGAUUUUCUUUUUUCACUGCGUUUUAUCGCCGCAUGCAAUAUUCUAACAGUGACAUCUUGAAAGUUAAAUUUAGUCACUUCUUCUAUUUAUUUUGGUGUAACUUGAUGUUGAUAUAAUUAGUUUUUUUGAGUUCCAUUAGUUUGUAAAUAAAUAAAUUCUGUUACCUUCUAAAUAUAACUAGUAUAGUAACCCGCGCGAUGCCGCGGAUAAAUAAUAGAAGAAAAAUUAAAAAAUAUUGAAGACUAAGAAGAAAGAAGUUUGGAAAAUAAAAAUUCAAGUGUGUUUUAUUUUUUGGAUUGGGAAACGUAUGAAUUGAACUAACCAAUAUGGUCAUUGAAAAUCGAUAACUGUCCAGAAUCAACAUUCAAAAAAAAAAACCCUACAAAAGUCGUAUGAAGAUGGAGAUAAUAAUGUUGCGAUGAUGACGAUGAUGACGAUGAAAAUCUGAUAAAAAUUUGCAAGAUUUUGCACAUUUUUGGACAUGGAAUGAUCAAAAGUUGCGGGUCAAAACUGCCACAUCAAUUAUGAAAUAAAAAAUAACCCCUAAAUUAAUCAAAAUAAUGCAUAUAAAUCAAAUCCUUGAUUGAUAUAAUCACCAUACAAAAAU
rnacentral:lncRNA from 1 species